AGACUUUGGGUGGUUAUGAAGUGUCAGUGUGGGCUCACCCUGGGUAAGAAAUGUGCCAUUCUGCCUAGUAUUCUCCAAUGUGGUUGAACUCAAACAUCUACUGUCUUCUGUGUGGCAGGCCUAGGCUCCCUGGACCACAUGCCGCAGGGCUAGCCACUGAUAACGUGAGUAGAAGUCCAGUGGGCAUUCCUCGGAAGUCCUUUGUUUUCCUGAAAGAAAAUUACUGAGACUGGUGAAGAUCCUUUCUUCUUUUUACUGCUGUGAUUGCUAAUGCACUGAAGGUAAAAGCCCACAUGCUAAGCAUAGAAGUGAAGAAAGAAACAGCCUGCAUCCAUGAUGACAUGAUUUAAGCAGCUGCUGAAUCAAUAGCAACAACUAUGUUAUUUCCAGACUUUUUAUUAUCUAAGAGAAAGAAAAAAGAGGCCCCUAUUUGUUUAACCCUUCUUGCAUCAGAUUUCUGUAACUUGCAGCUAACCUAGCCAUGUUC